rnacentral:rRNA from 1 species
CUACGGGUCGCUGCAGUGGGGAAUAUUGCGCAAUGGGGGAAACCCUGACGCAGCAACGCCGUGUGAGGGAUGAAGGCUUUCGGGUCGUAAACCUCUGUCAGGCAGGACGAAACAUCUAAACAUGAAUAAUGUUUAGAUCUGACGGUACUGCCAGAGGAAGUCCCGGCUAACUCCGUGCCAGCAGCCGCGGUAAUACGGGGGGACAAACGUUGUUCGGAAUUAUUGGGCGUAAAGAGCGCGUAGGUGGUCAGAAAAGUCAGACGUGAAAUCCCUCUGCUCAACAGAGGAAUGGCGGUUGAAACUCUCUGGCUAGAGUGUGGGAGAGGAGAGUGGAAUUCCCAGUGUAGCGGUGAAAUGCGUAGAUAUUGGGAAGAACACCAGUGGCGUAGGCGGCUCUCUGGCCCAUUACUGACACUGAGGCGCGAAAGCUAGGGGAGCAAACGGGAUUAGAUACCCUCGUAGUC